rnacentral:rRNA from 1 species
UACGAAGGGGGGCUAGCGUUGCUCGGAAUUACUGGGCGUAAAGCGCACGUAGGCGGCUUACUCAUUGAUCAGGGGGGUGAAAAUCCUGGAGCUCAACUCCAGAACUGCCUUUGAUACUGCGGGUCUCGAGUCCGGGAGAGGUGAGUGGAAUUCCUAGUGUAGAGGUGAAAUUCGUAGAUAUUAGGAAGAACACCAGUGGCGAAGGCGGCUCACUGGCCCGGUACUGACGCUGAGGCGCGAAAGCGUGGGGAGCAAACAG